rnacentral:rRNA from 1 species
UACGUAGGGCGCGAGCGUUGUCCGGAAUUAUUGGGCGUAAAGAGCUCGUAGGCGGCCUGUUGCGUCCGCUGUGAAAUCCCAGGGCUUAACCCUGGGCGUGCAGUGGAUACGGGCAGGCUGGAGGCAGGCAGGGGAGAACGGAAUUCCCGGUGUAGCGGUGAAAUGCGCAGAUAUCGGGAGGAACACCGGUGGCGAAGGCGGGUCUCUGGACAACACCUGACGCUGAGGCACGAAAGCCAGGGGAGCAAACGGG